GUAGGGGUGGCAGGUAGCCUAGUGGUUAGAGUGUAGGGGUGGCAGGUAGCCUAGUGGUUAGAGUGUAGGGGCGGCAGGUAGCCUAGUGGUUAGAGUGUAGGGGCGGCAGGUAGCCUAGUGGUUAGAGUGUAGGGGCGGCAGGUAGCCUAGUGGUUAGAGUGUAGGGGCGGCAGGUAGCCUAGUGGUUAGAGUGUAGGGGUGGCAGGUAGCCUAGUGGUUAGAGUGUAGGGGCGGCAGGUAGCCUAGUGGUUAGAGUGUAGGGGCGGCAGGUAGCCUAGUGGUUAGAGUGUA